ACGGCUCAGUAACACGUAGUCAACCUAACUCGUGGACGUGGAUAACCUCGGGAAACUGAGAAUAAACCACGAUAGAUCAUAAUGCCUGGAAUGGCUUAUGGUCCAAACAGUUUACUGCCAUGGGAUGGGACUGCGGCCUAUCAGCUUGUUGGUGAGGUAAUGGCCCACCAAGGCGAUUACAGGUACGGGCUCUGAGAGGAGAAGCCCGGAGAUGGGUACUGAGACACGGACCCAGGCCCUAUGGGGCGCAGCAGGCGAGAAACCUUAGCAAUGUGCGAAAGCACGACUGGGUCAGUCCGAGUGAUUCCUGAUAAAGGAGUCUUUUGCUUGUCCUAAAAGCACAGGUGAAUAAGGGGUGGGCAAGUCUGGUGUCAGCCGCCGCGGUAAUACCAGCACCUCGAGUGGUCAGGACGUUUAUUGGGCCUAAAGCAUCCGUAGCCGGCUCUGCAAGUCUUCGGUUAAAUCCACCUGCUCAACAGAUGGGCUGCUGGAGAUACUACAGAGCUAGGGAGUGGGAGAGGCAGACGGUAUUCAGUGGGUAGGGGUAAAACCCGUUGAUCCAUUGAAGACCACCAGUGGCGAAGGCGGCUUGCCAGAACGCGCUCGACGGUGGGGGAUGAAAGCUGGGGGAGCAAACCGGAUUAGAUACCCGGGUAGUCCCAGCUGUAAACGAUGCAGACUCGGUGAUGAACAGGCUUCGUGCCUGUUCAGUGCCGCAGGGAAGCCGUUAAGUCUGCCGCCUGGGGAGUACGGUCGCAAGACUGAAACUUAAAGGAAUUGGCGGGGGAG
rnacentral:rRNA from 1 species